rnacentral:lncRNA from 1 species
GACUGUUGUAUCGAUCCGGUGCUGAUAGUAAAGAUCAAUGUAGUCCACGCCAAGGCGCUUAAGGCUAGCCUCGCAGCAGGAGCGGACAUAUUCAGGACUGCCAUUUACUAGCAUCUGAUGAGGUUCGAUUUUUACGAUACCAAACUUCGUAGCCAACUGAACUUUGUCUCGUGGCAAUUGCUUCAAUGCCUGAAGUUAAACCGAUCGAAGACAGCAUAAAUGACCAACAUUAAAUUCAUACCGACAACCCUAGACACUCUUAGGCUCUUUUCAGAACCUGCUCCAAUUUCGAGUCAAGAGAUCCUAAACCCUUGCUUGCUGCACAAGGAAAAUCAAAACUUUGAAUUAUGGAAAGACUAAUUCAGAGCAGAUUACCUUCCCAACCAAAACUUCAUUAAUAUGAGGUCCAUAUACAUCUGAUGUAUCGAAGAAAGUAAUUCCCUUAUCGAAUGCGUGCUUGAUGAUCGAUAUGCCAAGCUCUUCGGGGACUGGAUCGUUGUAGAUUCCAGAAAGGCCCAUACACCCAAAUCCCAACUUGGAAACCUGCACAACAAAUGAAUUCACAAUUUGCAUAAAAUCAAUGUGAAGUAAUGCUAAUUUUUAUUUGGAGGGAAGCAAAAAACAUAACCGAGUUGCAGAAAUGAAAAGCUAGAGUAAAGAAUCUGAAAUGGUUUCACCUCAAAUCCCUGAGUUCCGAGUUGCACUCUUGGAAUUUGAACUUUCUGCUCCUCCGCCAUUCUUCUUCUUCGAUCUUCUUCGAUCUUGGUGCACUCUUGGAACUCUUUUUGUCCCCUGUUUGGUGAAGUGAGAGCGAAUUUAAAGGCGUUUUACGCACUAAACUUCAUGUCGUCAUUGAUUACAUCAGCAUAUCUUUUAGAUCACUGCGUGUGUCAUUGGUCAUUAAGGAACUAAAUCCAUUACUAAACUCGUGAGUGCUAUAUCAAUAUUAUUUGGAAGUUUGUUAGUGCCCAAAAGUCCACUUCCAACAACAUUUUGUUAAUAAGGUGUGCUAUCCACACAUCCUAUUUUAUUUCUCACACAUCCCUUGAUAAUUUCUAUCUGUUGAUCUUUUUCAAUUUAUCUGAUCCGACGACCGAAAAUUAAAACGGCAUAUUUUACUUCUCACACACUCCUUGAUAAUUUAUGUCCGUUGAUCUUCUUCAAUUCAACCGAUCCGAUGACCGAAAAUUAAAACGGUCUGUGAGAAGUAAAAUGAGGUGUGUGAAUAUCACACCCCACCAUCUGUUAGGUGUGACGUUUUAUUACAAAAGGCUUUGGUAUUAGUUUAAAAAGGGUACGAUAUUUAAACUCUUCUUUUCUCAUAAAUACGAUCAAUGUGAGAUAUUUCAACAAAAACCAUACACUAAUUGCGUGAAACGUUAAAAUAAUCUCUCUUAUUACAUAUAAUAUCCCAUUAAAAUGUGCCUGACGUGUAUGAGUCCAGUAUAAUUUUCAGAACAACAGUUUCUCGGAUAAGUAGUCCCCGGAUCUUUGUUCCGUUCAUGAGCGUUACAAUUUUGGAAUGGAAAUUACGCUUAGAAAAGAACUUAAUACGAUGUUGAAGUAUCCAUAACUGCUUCAAAGACUUCGACUGUAUUGCAACUUUCUCGCAGAAACUGUGCAGAUUCGAUUGUGCAUACAAACAUUUAAGUUGGUCUGUUGCAUUGUUUUGCUGGUGUGCUUGCAAACUUCCACGAGCAGCGCAUAAGACUAUCUGUUAAUCUCUCCCCUGCUGCGGCAUUGAUCGAUAUCAUAUCCGAAAUCUCUUUCAUAUCGUCUUUAGUGAGUUUCACUCUCAAGGAACCAAUAUUAUCGUCAAUGUUUUUUUUCUUAGUUGUCCCUGCAAAGACACAUGAGAGAUCAGUUCGCUUAACCUUUUUUUGUUCAAAAUCGACGCGGUCCAGUUAGUAAGCUAAUACCCACAUACCAGGAAUUGGUACCAUGCCAUCGCCUUGAUUAAGAAUCCACGAGAGCGCCAUCCGUGCCGAUGUCAUCCAUGAUUUUCGGCCAAGUUUUGUUCCGUACUUAUUCGGAUAACAAAUUGCAGCUGUCUUGAAUUUAAGGAGAUGUUCUUCAGAUCAUAUAUGUGUUACCUGAAAACUAUUUGCAGGUAGUGUUGGAGUAUGUGGCCAAGUGGCCAACUUUUGAUUAAACAAAUCAAAAAGAAAAAAAGACAAAAUAAUUAUGUUUCCUUGUUUUGGGGAAAAGAAAAGUGAAAUUUGUCUAAAGUUUUCUUUGGUCCAUGUGGGAAGUCACGGAUGAGGUUUUGUAUGAUAAGUAAUUGCUACUUUUGAUGAAGAGUAGUAAUGAAACCAUAGAAGAGGAAAAAACGCAGCAGAAAAUAGAGAGCAAAACAAAGGUGUUGCAGCCCCAUUUUGAAGAGAAGAAAGAAAGGUGAUUUUCUUUCUUUGUUGGUACUCACUCAAUCAAAGUUGUAUUUGUGUAUUAGCUUUGAGCUUUGUAUAGAGAGGAAAUUAUUCACUAUAUUUCCCUCUCUAUUUGUUUCUUUGGUGAGUGAGAGUUAUUGGGUGUAUUGGGGUUUUGGGUUGUGAGAUUGCCAACACUUUGUAAACUCCCAUUUGGAUGAUAGUGGAUUAUUGGGUGAGCUCCUACUGCUCCGAGGACGUACUCCAGUUACACUGACUGUUGAGGAACCUUGUUAAAAUCUUGGUGUCUUUAAUAUUUUGUUCUUGCAUUUCAUUUGAUAUAUUUUCUGUGGGUUAUCAAGAGUUGGUUCCAUAAGGUUUGGUGCUAUCCUAGCACAACACAAAGAAGUCACCAUUCUUUCUCUAUCCUCGAAUAUUCAUAAGCUCCCUCUCCCCACACCACUUGAUAUACCACAAGAACUUGAAAAAUCAUUUUUUUUCCCCACUAACUCAAAGGGCUUGCCACAAUUAUCAAAGAAAAAUUGAGGCUGGGACAUGCUAAUCACGUCAUCUGCAACGCAUUUCUCAUAUUAUCUGUAUUGAUUCUCUCAACUUCACGCAAUUGUCCUAGUAGGGCAACUCUACCGACUUAUCUUUCGUUAUUAGUAAGUUGCAGGUUUUAGUUUUAUUUCGUUUUGCUUUUUAUUUUGAAAUUUUUUUCUCUAGUUUUUCCCUCCUUGUGUAUCUAGUUCAUAAAUGAUGGAGAAAAUCAUUUGAUACGUGAAACAUGAAAUUUGAUUAAAAAGUGUACGAAAUUAAGCUUAAAUCAGCACACAAUUAACUGAGAACAGCUUUUAUUAGUACAAAAAAAAAAAAAAAAAAAGGCUUAAGCAUCCAACAGAACUCGGCAGCAUUCACCAAAGGUUCUCAAACUGUGCAGCAAUUGGAACUUUAGUUGCACUUUCUAACAACAAUCAGAACCAAACAAACAUAAUCACCUUAAAGCAUUUCGGCGGUUCUUACGGAUAUUAGCUGCAUAGUAAAAAUUCUUACAGGAAAUGCACAGACCCGAUCACAUACACGAACAUUUAAGAUGGUCUUCCUCCAUCUCUUUGCGGUGUAUCUGCGAACUUCCAAGAGCAGGGGAUGAAAAUUUCAGGUACAUUAUUCCCCGCCGCCGCAUCCACUGGUACCAUAUCCGAAAUCUCCUUUACAUCUUCUUUUGUGAGCCUCACUUUAAAGGAUUCAAUAUUAUCAUCAAGAUUUUUCACCUUAGUUGCCCCUACAAGAAAACAAAAUGGAAAGUCAGCAACUGGAAAAAAAAAUCUAGCAAUGUUUCCACUUUAUUGCAUUAGUUAAACUCAUCAAAUACCCUAAACCCUAGAGGCUAGAUCAGGAAGGUAAGGGGCACGCACCGGGGAUAGGUACCACAUCAUCGCCUUGACCACGAAUCCAGGCAAGGGAAAGUUGCGCAGUGCUGCAUCUAUGCUUUUCAGCCAACUUUUGUAUUCUACUAUAUGUAAUCUUGCUCUUCUCAAGGUUGUCUGCUUGGAAACGAGGAUGCCCGUACUGAGAGCAUGAUUGAUUCGUCAAAUCAUAUAAUAUAAUUAGAAUGAAAGAGCUUCAGGCUCACCUUCAAGGAGUCAAUGUUUGAAUCCAGGUUCUUAAUAUUUGUUGUCCCUGCAGUCGAAAUUCAAAAACAAAUAAACAAUGUGUCGAUGACGAGUUCUAAAUCAGAAUGUCAUAUACUUGGAGCUCAAGUAAGAUGAACCGAAAGCCACUUUUCUAUUCUAUCUAAGACAACCAUUAUAAGAACAAGCACAAACUCAUUGGCACGGAAACAACAAGCUGCAGAUGCAACGUACCAGGUUUCAAAUCAAAUGAACUUGAUGAGAACAAAAAUGUAAUGAGGACUCACCCGGGAUAGGUACGACAUCAUUUCCUUGGUGGAGAACCCAUGCUAGUGGUAGUUGAGCAGGAGAGCAUGAAGACAUGCUUUAAGUAACUUGAUAAAUUCAGCAGUGCAACACACAUACCUUCCCAAGAAGAACUUCGUUCGUAUGAGGUCCGUAUACAUCAGCUGUGUUAAAGAAAGUGAUUCCUUUGCUGAAGGCAUGCUUCAUUGUUGUGAUACCAUCCACAUUGGCAACAGGAGAGUUAUAAAUCCCACUCAGCCCCAUGCAUCCAAACCCCAGUUUUGAAACCUGAUUAAAACAAAGAAGUUAGAAAUUUUGCAACAAAUCAGGAAAAAAUCGAUAGAAAUCUUUUUUUAUUUUUUUUAAAUGAGUACACUUCCAACCACAGAAGUCAACCUCUGCAACAAAGGUUGACCUCAAAACUCAAAGGUCUCAUUUGAUAGAGAGGAUUAGCUUGAAUACGACAAUUAUUUAUGAAGAAAAGUUGUCCCUUUUCAUCCUACCAUUUUUGUGAGGACUAAGAGGAAUAUCUUUUCUUCAUGAGUGGUAACAUUGAGAAAAUAUGGAAGUUCUCAUCCAUUUCUUCCUUCAAAAUGCCUUCAGUGUAGUGAAUAGCCAUAUCCAAGUUAAUCCUCCUUAUCAAAUGAGGCCUAAUGGAAACGGAGCCUAGAAAGCAUUGAAAGAGGCAAAACACUUAGGCCUCAUUUGGUGUCAAGGAUUGAAUCGGAUUGGAUAACUCAAUAGUUGAAUGGAUGUUGAUAGAAAAUAAAUGCCAAAGUUCCAAAUUUUGUUUAAGCUCAAGCUCAAGAGAUGGAUCACAAGAGAAACUUAUUCCUUCCAAUAGGAUUGGGAGGGAUAAAUUUCUUCAUAACUAAUUCAUCUUCCAUUCUUACUUCAACAUACACUAAAUCGAAUGAGUUAUCUGAUCCACACCAGUCUUUGACACCAAAACGAGCCCUUACAUCUCUUUCUUUAACCAAAAAAAAAAGAAACUAGAGAUUAGUAGACUUUGGGCAAAUUGUGCUAAGCAAUGUACUACACAACCAAGCAUAUAUAUAUAUAUAUAUAUAUAUUCACUUCAAAACUUAAUCCGAGUAACAAAAGACAUAAAUUGAAACAACUUCAGAAUCCAAAAAUGGAUUAAUUAAUUAAUUUAUACCUAAAAUCCACAGUUUCCAAGUUGAACUCUUAGAAUCUGUAUGUUGGGGCUUAAAAAGACUUCACUACUUUGGAGAUGUUUAUCUCACAAAGAAGAAUGUACUGCAGUGGAAUUGAUAGGCAAGAGAAAGAAAGAACACUCAAUUUAUUCACUCACAAACUUAGUACAAGAGGAAACACUCAAACACUCUUACACUUCUUCACUCUUUGCUCACUUCUUGCUCUCUUACUUAGCAACACACACACAUACCUAUAUUUAUAGGGCAUAUUUGCCGACUUAUUCAUUCACUAGAAUUUUCUAGUGCAUUGAUCAUGCACACUUUUCCAAUUUCAGCCAAUAUGUUUCUAGAUUCUACCACAAACAAAAACAUUUUAUAUUUUCUUAAGCAUAAGGUGGUGGACUUGACUAUACCACCAAUUGCUGCACUUUGCUAGAGUUUUCUAGCAUAUCACUUCACCGACAACCUUUUGCUAGCAUUUUCUAGCACAUUUCAUGAGUUUUCUAUGGGCUGGAUCAUCUUCUUAGGCUAAGAACAAGAUUACAUUUCAACAUCCCCCCUUAAUCUUGUCUUGUGACGCCGAUUGAGUUCCUCAGUCUGAUAAAGUCUUCUUGUUUGAGUGGCUUGGUGAAUAUGUCAGCGAUUUGGUCUUGAGACUUCACGUAUUCCACUUGCACAUCCUUUCUUGCAAUGCACUCUCUUAUGUAGUGAUAACGGGUAUCUAUGUGCUUGCUCCUGUCAUGAAAUACUGGAUCUAAAGCUAUUGCAGAUUUGUUGUCGACAUAGAUCUCUGUUGGCUCUUCUUGUGGCAUGCUUAAUUCUUUUAGUAAGUUUCUCAGCCAAAUUGCAUGACAGACACAUGAGGUAGCAGCUACGUAUUCAGCUUCGCAGGUAGAGAGGGUGACAAUCGGUUGCUUCUUCGACAUCCAUGUGAAUGCAGUGUCUCCCAUGAAGAACACAAAUCCAGUAGUGCUUUUUCUAUCGUCGGAAUCUCCUGCCCAAUCACUGUCGCUAUAUCCAGCAAGUUUGUAGUUAUCAAAACUUGAACAGAACAAGCCAAAGUUAAUAGUACCUUUAAGGUAUCGAAGAAUUCUUUUGGCGGUCUUCAAUUGUGUAGUUAUGAGAUUCUCCAUGUAGCGACUGAUUAAUCCGACGGCGUAGAGAAUGUUUGGUCUUGUGCAUGUCAAGUAGCGCAAGCUUCCAACUAAACUCUUGAAAAAUGUUGGAUAUACACUUUCUCAUUUGUCAUGCUUGGUUAGUUUGACUCCACACUCCACUGGCAUGCUUAUGGGCUUGCAGUCGUCCAUUUUGAACUUUUUGAGUAUCUCUUUUGUGUAGCUUUCUUGGGAGAUGAAAAUGCCUUCUUUGUUCUGCUUGACUUCAAUGCCUAGGUAGGAUGCCAUCAGCCCGAUGUCGGUCAUCUCAAAUUCUUUGGUCAUCACUCUCUUGAACUCUUCAUACAUACUUGGAUUACUUCCGGUGAAGAUUAAAUCAUCCACAUAUAAGCACACAAUCAGAAUAUCUUCAUCUUUGACUUUGACGUAGAGAGCAUGUUCAUGAGGGCACUUGAUGAAGUUGUUCUCCUGAAAGUACUUGUCGAUGCGACUAUUCCACGCUCGUGGUGCUUGUUUUAACCCAUAGAGGGCUUUCUUCAACUUCAGAAUUUUGUCUUCAUGCCCUUUGAUUUCAUAGCCUGAUGGUUGCUGAAUGUAGACUUCUUCUUCAAGGACUCCAUUUAGGAAAGUGGACUUCACAUCCAUUUGUUGAAUCUUCCAUUUGUUUUGAGCUGCCAAAGAAAUUAGUAAUCGUAUAGUUUCCAACCGAGCAAUAGGUGCAAAUACCUCAUCAUAGUCGAUUCCGGCUCUUUAACUAUAGCCCUUCGCCACUAGUCUCGUCUUGUAUCUUUCAACCUCUCCGUUGACAUUCUUCUUUGUCUUAUACACCCACUUGACUCCGAUGGCUUUGUGUCCUUUCAGAAGAAUAGCGAGUUCCCAUGUAUCGUUCUUCUGGAUUGCUUCAAUUUCUUCAUCCAUUGCUUUCAUCCAUUUAGUAUCUUGCACUGCUUCUUGGAAGUCAACUGGUUUACAAUCAGCAAAGAGACAGAAAAGUGUAGGAUUAUCGAGUAUUUCAGCUACCUCAUAAAGAUCUCGUAGACUUCUUGUACAUGGUACUUCUCUUUCAUUUAGACUCCCACUUGAUGAUGCUGAUGCUGGUGAAUUACCAUGAUUGGUUGAUGUUGGUGAAGCAGGUGGAGUAGUUGACUUUUGUUGAACCUCUCUUGCUUGCUCCAUCGUCCCUUGUUCAUUCUCUUCUUCAAACUGAGGAAAGAAGUGAAGAUCACCUGCAUGAGAGCAAAAAUCCCAUUCUCUUUCCUUAUCGAACGUCACGUCUCGACUGAUCACCAUCUUCCCAUUGUUUAGAUUAUACAGCUUAUAGCCUUUUGAAUUUGAGUCAUAGCCGAUAAAGAUGAACUUCUCACUUUUGUCGUCGAGUUUGGUUCUCUUCUCGUCUGGUACAUGUACAUGGGCUAUGCUUCCAAAAAUUCUUAGAUGAGAGAUACCUGGUUUUCUUCCACUCCAUGCUUCUUGCGGAGUCUUUCCCCACACACUUCUUGUUGGAGACCGAUUAGAUAGGUAGACAGCACAUGUUAUCGCUUCUGCCCACAACUCCUUAGGCAAUCUCUUGCUUUUGAACAUGCUUCGAGCCAUGUCGAGGAUGGUUUGAUUUUUUCUUUAUGCCACACCAUUUUGUUGAAGGGAUCUUGGAACUGUCAAAGGUCGACGAAUUCCAUUGACUUCACAGAAUUCUUGAAAUUCCUUUGAAGUGAAUUCUCCUCCCCGAUCAGAUCUCAUGGCUUUGAUCUUGCAACCACUUUCUUUCUCUACAGCAGCUUUGAACUUCUUGAAUGCUCCAAAUACCUUUGAUUUCUGCUUUAAGAAAUACACCUAGGUUUUCCUUGAAAAAUCAUCAAUGAAGAGAAGGAAAUAAUUAUUUUUACCUAAAGAGCUUGGUUUUAUUGGACCGCACACAUCGGUGUGAAUGAGCUCGAGUGGCUUCUAGGCUCUUGUGGCCGACUCCUUUGGAAAACUUUUCCUGAACUGUUUCCCAAGUAAACAUCCUUCGUAAACUUGAUCAGGGUGACUGAUGCACGGUAAGCCUUUCACCAUCUCCUUCUUGGAUAAUAACUCCAGUCCCCCAAAGUUAAGAUGCCCAAAACGAAGAUGCCAAAGCCAGGAUGCGUCUUUUUAACAUAUCUUGAGACACUUUGCAACAUCAUUUUGAAUAUUCAUAGGAAACGUCCUAUUCUUUGACAUUUUCACCUUGGCAAUUAAUCUUCCCUUGUCAUCUCUAAGAAAAAGGCUAUAAUUUUUCAUGUGAAUAUCAUAACCUUUUUCUAAGAGUUGACCCAAGCUCAAAAUGUUGCUUUUCAUAUUGGGCACGUAGUAGACACUUGAAAUUAAUUGGUGACCGCCAUUUUUCAGGGGAAUUAGGAUGUUACCUUUUCCUUUGACGGGUAUUUUGGAUUCGUCUCCAAAAGAAACGUUGCCACUCACCGAUUCAUCGAGCUCUACGAACAUGCUUCUUCUUCCACACAUGUGGUUACUGGCGCCUGUGUUAAGAUACCAUGUAUAGUCUUGGUCUCCAUCAUUGUUCUGGUAUGCCAGUAGCACAACGCCAUUAUCUUUUUUCUCUUCUUUCACAUAAUUGACCUUCUCAUCAAGCCUAUUGCUUGGAGCUCUACAUUCCCAAGCAUAAUGCCCAAACUUUUGACAGUUGUAGCAUUGAACUUGAGAUUUUUCAUACCUCAAGUUUGAGCGCCCUCUUCCACGACCAUUUGUUGAGCUUCUUCCUCUUUUGUAGUUGCUAUGAUUGUUGAAGUUCCAACCACGUCCACGUCCAUGUCCACGUCCGUGACCUCAACCGCGACUUCUUUCGUACUGGCUUCUCUCGUUGUCCAAGCUUUCUUCUUUCUUCUUUGGCUGGACAUGCGUCUUGAAGAGCUGCUCAUCAUUCCUUUGCCUCUUCUUAUGUUUCUCUUCAUAUGCUUGUAGCGAACCCAUUAAUUGCUCUAUACUAAUUUCUUCCAAGUUUUUUGUUUCUUCAAUCGUCACGACAAUGUGCUUGAACUUAGGGUCCAACGAGCAUAGUAUCUUCUCCAUAAUGCUAACAUCUUCUAACUUUUCUCCAUUUCUUUUUAAUUGAUUGGAAAUGGCUAAGACUCUUGAAAAAUAAUCAGAGAUUGAUUCAAACCCUUUCAUUUGUAGAGAUUUGAACUCACCUCUUAGUACUUGAAGACGAACCUUUUUCACUUGUUCGGCUCCUUUGUAAGAGGUUUAAAGCUUCUCCCAUGCUUGCUUGGCAGAGGUUGCACUCGAGACUUUCUCAAAGCCAUUGUCAUCUAAUGCUUGGUAGAUGAGGUAGAUAGCCUUCUUGUCUCUCUUUCUUGAAUCUUUCAAACUCUCCUUCUGGGGUUGGGACAAAGUAGCUUCAUCUUCUGGCUCAGUGUAGCCUUUCUCCACGACUUCCCAUACAUCGUGUGCUCCCAAAAGGGCCUUCAUUUUGAUACUCCAAUUAUCGAAGUUGUUGUUGUCGAGCACUGGAACUUGGAAGGCUGCCAUAGUGUUGCUAGCCAUAGCUCUGGUACCACUUUGUUGGGGCUUAAAAAGACUUCACUACUUUGAAGAUGUUUAUCUCACAAAGAAGAAUGUAAUGCAGCGGAAUUGAUAGGCAAGAGAAAGAAAGAACACUCAAUUUAUUCACUCACAAACUUAGUACAAGAGGAAACACUCAAACACUCUUACACUUCUUCACUCUUUUCUCACUUCUUGCUCUCUUACUUAGCAACACACACAUACCUAUAUUUAUAGGGCAUGUUUGCCAACUUAUUCAUUCACUAGAAUUUUCUAGUGCAUUGAUCAUGCACACUUUUCCAAUUUCAGCCAAUAUGUUUCUAGAUUCUACCACAAACAAAAACAUUUUAUAUUUUCUUAAGCAUAAGGCGGUGGACUUGACUAUACCACCAAUUGCUGCACUUUACUAGAGUUUUCUAGCAUAUCACUUCACCGACAACCUUUUGCUAGCAUUUUCUAGCACAUUUCAUGAGUUUUCUAUGGGUUGGAUCAUCUUCUUGGGCUAAGAACAAGAUUACAUUUCAACACUGUAUUCCCAUCUCCUCAGCCAUACUAUUCCCCUCCUCUGAAUUUCUUCAAAAAAUGCCAAAUGAGAGAAUACAUACAUACAAUCAAAGUCUGUGGCUGAACAUUAUUAGCCUAAAUAACAAUCGAAGUCUAUGGCUGCCAACACUGGCCAAGUGAAUUUUCGUAUAAGUCCAGGAUAUAUAAUAUAUAUUGUUGGCACGCCCUCCUACCUCAUUGGAUCACGAACUUUAGACUGUUUGCAGCAGAGAAGUCAAACUUUUUUUUUUUCUUAGAGUGAUCUCCAUAUGUGGUAGUUUUUCUUUCUAAUUAUAGAAAGUUUAGAAUGUUAAAUGAGAUUUUUGAAGUGCUAAUGAUAAAACAUAUACAUACUAUUUCAAAAAGAUAGAUUGAAAAUUUGGGUGUUCAAGGAUAUUGUUGGCUGCCCAAUUUGACUAGAAACUGUGGACCUCACUGUCUCCCAAAACAAACAUAAAAAGGGGGGAAUGAAAAAAGAGGAAAUGCACCAAGCCGGGAAUCGAACCCGGGUCCGUACCGUGGGAGGGUACUAUUCUACCACUAGACAAUUUGUGCCCACAUGUCAUUUUCAGCUCCCACAACAUUAUUGUCACGAAACAAAGUGGGCACAUUCGCGAUUAUAAUCCGUCGGAUAUGACAAACGACUCCAGGGCAAAUUAAUAAUAGAGGUGUGAUCCACAGGAUUUGAAUCCUCUUAUGAGCUCAGCUUCCUGAGCAAAUUAAACGGAUCGUUGGAUUUUAAUCCAACGGCUUCAAAUAGAGGAUUCCUUUAAAAGUUAUAAUAAGCCGUUGGAUCAAAAUCCAACGGCCCCGUUUGUUUUGCUCAGUAGGCUCAGGAUGUUGAGCUCAGGAGAUGAUCAAAAUCCAUGAUCCACAUGCCUUUUUUUACUCUUUAUACAUUUUUUUUUAAAUUUUCGACAGUCAUAUCGGAUGAAUUGAAGAAGAAAAUAUGACAAAAAUUAAUAAAGAAUGUAUGAGAAAUAAAGAAUGGAGUGUGGACAGCACAUCCCUUAAGAAUAUUGCAAAAUGCAUAAUGUCUUUUCUACCCUACUAUGAGAUGUAAAAGCAAAAGGCAUUUUCGACUAUCCAUUAAAACCAUGGGUUAGAGUAACCCAAUUACUUAUAAUCACAUGGACAAUACAAAUCGAAUGACGUAGAGUAGCUCAAUUAUAAGCACAUGGACAAUACCAGUUGGGUAAAGUGUAGCAUAUGUGGCCGUUGUGAUUCAUACAAUGGAGAAUCUUACCAUGAAGAAAGUUGAGGUUCCACCAUAAAACCAAUUGAUAAUAUGGAAAGUAGUCCAAUUACUUAUAAGCACAUGCGAUGUCCAUCAUUUCUUCGAUGUGAGAUAGAUACUAUCAACACAUUAAAUAUUUUAGGGUAAUUUUACGCACAUUCUUAGAGUGUUCUUUUUUUUUCUUUUGAUUUUGGAUUAUGGAUUAAACUCAACAAUUGUGAUUGUAUUUGUAAAUUUAUGGCAUGUAAACAUGCACGUUUCCGAUUUCAAGCCUCCAAGUAGAGUUACGAGGCCAUGGAUAGAGCAUUAACACGGAGAUGGAAUCUCUAGCUUAUGGCUCAUUUGAAAGUAUUUUAAAAAUGAUUGAAAUCACAUUUAGAGAAAAAGAUUUUUAUAUUUCAAAACCACUUGAAGAACUUCUUGCAAGAAACAUUAGUUAUGUGCUUCUUGUAGGAAGCACUAGUUAUGUGCUUCUUGUAGGAAGCACUAGUUAUGUGUUUCUUGUAGGAAGCACUUUAAGUAUUUCUUGUAGAAAACACUUCAAUGUAUUUUUUAAAAAUUCACUUGCAUUUUUACUAAAGAGUAAAGAUUUGCUCCAAAAUUAUUGUCACCAAAAUUCAAACAUUGUUAUAAAUAGGCAAAAGUUAGAGAAAUAACCUUUGCUAAGAGCGAGAGCAAAGUGGAUGUAACAUAUCACAAUGUUUUGUUUAUUAACUACAACAGAAUGAUUGCAGGUAAAAGAAAAAUAGGAGAACGCAAAAAAUAUUCUAACUUAUCAUUCUUCUCUUAUUGCUUUUUGCAUCCAUGUGUUUUGAACACUCGUGGUGCUAUAUUUAUAGAGCAACUACCUUGAAAACUUACAAAAACUUCACUAUUUAGCAUAUGAAUCUUUACUGUAUACAUGUGGGCAAACAUACCCACUGUUUACAACAAACGUGCCUUUAUUAUAUCAAUAAAAAACCCUAGGCAUAUCAACAGAAAUGAGCAGUAUUGGCCAACUAGUUAGUACUAUAGGCACUUCAGAUACAAGUUGGUAUUUUGCUAUGCUUUUGCUGGUGUAUUUGCAAACUUCCAUGAGCAGCUAUUGGGACCUUCACUAUAUCUUUCCCCUGCCGCACCGUUGACGGGUAUCGCAUCAGAAACCUCCUUCACAUCUUCUUCAGUGAGUUUCACUCUCAACGAUCCGAUAUUAUCAUCGAGAUUUUUUAUCUUUGUCGUCCCUAAAAGAACACAAUGAGAUGUAAGUAUGCUUCGUUUUCAAGUUUAUUACAAUGGUUCGUCCAGUUAGCAAGUUAAUACGAACUUACCAGGGAUUGGUACCACGUCAUCACCUUGGCUAAGAAUCCAAGCUAGGGCAAAUUGUGCAGUGGUGCAUCCGUGCUUCUCGGACAACUUUCGUACGUUGCCAAAGAUGACCUUGUUCUUCUCCAAGUUGUCCCCUGUGAAUCGAGGACAGAAACCUGAUACCUGAUAACAAAAUGAAUAGCCAUCAAAUAACCGUUCUUGUUCACAUAAUUUAGCAUAUCGCAACCCCCGAACUCCCUUACCAGAAAAUUAUUUGCAGGUAGACUUUCGACAACACCCUUGCCACCGAAAAAUCCGCGACCCAGUGGGCUGUAUGGCACUAUUCCGAUUCCAAGCUCCCUGUGGUUCCAACAAAAGCGACAAUAUUUUCUCACAUUGAUCAAUUGACUAUGAUGCGGGAACAAUCGACCAGCCACAAAGUAGUUACCUGCAAAGCGGGACAAUUUCUUCCUCGAUAUCUCGAGUCCAAAGGGACCACUCCAUUUGUAUAGCAGUUAUGGGAUGAACCGCAUGAGCCCUUCUUAUUGUGUCCGGGCUAGCUUCCGAUAAUCCGAUGUACUUAAUUUUUCCCUCAUUCACCAGCUUCUUUAGCUCCUCCAUCUGUCCUUACAAAAAUAGUAACUGAGUAACAGAAAAAUGGAAAAAGGCUUCACAAUGCACUUCAAAAGUAGGGGGAAAUAUCUAACACUUACAGUGUCCUCUAUGGGGACUGUUGUAUCGAUCCGGUGCUGAUAGUAAAGAUCAAUGUAGUCCACGCCAAGGCGCUUCAGGCUAGCCUCGCAGCAGGAGCGGACAUAUUCAGGACUGCCGUUUACUAGCAUCUGAUUAGGUUCAAUUUUUACGAUACCAAACUUCGUAGCCAACUGAACUUUGUCUCGUGGAAAUUGCCUCAAUGCCUGAAGUUAAACCGAUCGAAGACGGCAUAAAUGACCAACAUUAAAUGCAUACCGACAGCCCUAGACACUCUUAGACUCUUUUCAGAACCUGCUCCAAUUUCGAGUCAAAGAGAUCCUAAGCCUAUGAGGCAUGGAUAUGGAUACGGAUACGAAUACGGCGAUAUUAUACGACACUCCUGAGUAUUUUAUAUCAGAAAGACGGGUAUCCUACAUUUGAUGUAUCGAUAUGCACAAGGAAAAUCACAACUUUGAAUUAUGGAAAGACUAAUUCAGAGCACAUUACCUUUCCAACCAAAACUUCAUUAAUAUGAGGUACCAAAACUUCAUUAAUAUGAGGUCCAUAAACAUCUGAUGUAUCAAAGAAUGUAAUUCCCUUAUCGAAUGCGUGCUUGAUGAUCGAUAUGCCAAGCUCUUCGGGGACUGGAUCGUUGUAGAUUCCAGUGAGCCCCAGACACCCAAAUCCCAACUUGGAAACCUGCACCACA